AAAUUGAAGAGUUUGAUCAUGGCUCAGAUUGAACGCUGGCGGCAGGCCUAACACAUGCAAGUCGAACGGUAACAGGAAGCAGCUUGCUGCUUCGCUGACGAGUGGCGGACGGGUGAGUAAUGUCUGGGAAACUGCCUGAUGGAGGGGGAUAACUACUGGAAACGGUGGCUAAUACCGCAUAACGUCGCAAGACCAAAGAGGGGGACCUUCGGGCCUCUUGCCAUCAGAUGUGCCCAGAUGGGAUUAGCUAGUUGGUGAGGUAACGGCUCACCAAGGCGACGAUCCCUAGCUGGUCUGAGAGGAUGACCAGCCACACUGGAACUGAGACACGGUCCAGACUCCUACGGGAGGCAGCAGUGGGGAAUAUUGCACAAUGGGCGCAAGCCUGAUGCAGCCAUGCCGCGUGUAUGAAGAAGGCCUUCGGGUU
rnacentral:rRNA from 2 species